AGGAUGAACGCUAGCGGCAGGCUUAACACAUGCAAGUCGAGGGGUAUAGUAGCAAUACUAGAGACCGGCAAACGGGUGCGGAACACGUACAGAACCUACCUUGAUCUGGGGCAUAGCCCGGAGAAAAUCCGGAUUAACUCCCCAUAAUAUACAUAAAAGGCAUCUUUUGAGUAUUAAAAAUUUAUUGGAUCGAGAUGGCUGUGCGUCCCAUUAGCUAGUUGGUAGGGUAACGGCCUACCAAGGCGACGAUGGGUAGCUGGUGUGAGAGCACGACCAGCCACACGGGCACUGAGACACGGGCCCGACUCCUACGGGAGGCAGCAGUGAGGAAUAUUGGUCAAUGGACGCAAGUCUGAACCAGCCAUGCCGCGUGAAGGAUGAAGGCCUUCUGGGUUGUAAACUUCUUUUACCUGGGAAGAAACCCCAAUUUUCUAAUUGGGUUGACGGUACCAGAGGAAUAAGCACCGGCUAACUCCGUGCCAGCAGCCGC
rnacentral:rRNA from 1 species